AGCGGCAGACGGGUGAGUAACGCGUGGGAACCUACCUUUAGGUACGGAAUAACAGUUAGAAAUGACUGCUAAUACCGUAUGUGCCCGAGAGGGGAAAGAUUUAUCGCCUUUAGAUGGGCCCGCGUUGGAUUAGCUAGUUGGUGGGGUAAUGGCCUACCAAGGCGACGAUCCAUAGCUGGUUUGAGAGGAUGAUCAGCCACACUGGGACUGAGACACGGCCCAGACUCCUACGGGAGGCAGCAGUGGGGAAUAUUGGACAAUGGGGGAAACCCUGAUCCAGCCAUGCCGCGUGAGUGAUGAAGGCCUUAGGGUUGUAAAGCUCUUUCGCUGGGGAAGAUAAUGACGGUACCCAGUAAAGAAGCCCCGGCUAACUUCGUGCCAGCAGCCGCGGUAAUACGAAGGGGGCUAGCGU
rnacentral:rRNA from 1 species